rnacentral:tRNA from 1 species
CAUAUUAGAGUUUAGUUUGAAUUUUUCUGUUACGUUGAAAUGGCCCUGAAUAUCAGGUAAUAUGAGAUUAUUUGUU